rnacentral:tRNA from 1 species
ACUUAAAUAGCUUAUAAGAUAGAGCAUAAUAUUGAAGAUAUUAAGGAAAUAUAUAAUAUUUUUAAGUA